rnacentral:rRNA from 1 species
ACGAACGGCUGCGGCAGGCCUAACACAUGCAAGUCGAGCGCGCCUUCGGGUGAGCGGCGGACGGGUUAGUAACGCGUGGGAACGUACCCUUCUCUACGGAAUAGCCUUUGGAAACGAAGAGUAAUACCGUAUACGCCCUUUGGGGGAAAGAUUUAUCGGAGAAGGAUCGGCCCGCGUUAGAUUAGAUAGUUGGUGGGGUAACGGCCUACCAAGUCUACGAUCUAUAGCUGGUUUUAGAGGAUGAUCAGCAACACUGGGACUGAGACACGGCCCAGACUCCUACGGGAGGCAGCAGUGGGGAAUCUUAGACAAUGGGCGCAAGCCUGAUCUAGCCAUGCCGCGUGAGUGAUGAAGGCCUUAGGGUCGUAAAGCUCUUUCGCCUGUGAUGAUAAUGACAGUAGCAGGUAAAGAAACCCCGGCUAACUCCGUGCCAGCAGCCGCGGUAAUACGGAGGGGGUUAGCGUUGUUCGGAAUUACUGGGCGUAAAGCGCACGUAGGCGGAUUGGAAAGUUGGGGGUGAAAUCCCGGGGCUCAACCCCGGAACUGCCUCCAAAACUAUCAGUCUAGAGUUCGAGAGAGGUGAGUGGAAUUCCAAGUGUAGAGGUGAAAUUCGUAGAUAUUUGGAGGAACACCAGUGGCGAAGGCGGCUCACUGGCUCGAUACUGACGCUGA